rnacentral:rRNA from 1 species
UACGGAGGGUGCAAGCGUUAUCCGGAUUUACUGGGUUUAAAGGGUGCGUAGGUGGGUAGGUAAGUCAGUGGUGAAAUCUUCGAGCUUAACUCGGAAACUGCCAUUGAUACUAUUUAUCUUGAAUACUCUGGAGGUAAGCGGAAUAUGUCAUGUAGCGGUGAAAUGCUUAGAUAUGACAUAGAACACCCAUUGCGAAGGCAGCUUGCUACACAAUGAUUGACGCUGAGGCACGAAAGCGUGGGGAUCAAACAGG